rnacentral:rRNA from 1 species
GACGAACGCUGGCGGCGUGCUUAACACAUGCAAGUCGAACGGAAAGGCCCUGCUUUUGUGGGGUGCUCGAGUGGCGAACGGGUGAGUAACACGUGAGUAACCUGCCCUUUACUUUGGGAUAACUUCAGGAAACUGGGGCUAAUACCUGAUAGGAGCUCCUGCUGCAUGGUGGGGGUUGGAAAGUUUCGGCGGUUGGGGAUGGACUCGCGGCUUAUCAGCUUGUUGGUGGGGUAGUGGCUUACCAAGGCUUUGAAGGGUAGCCGGCCUGAGAGGGGGACCGGCGACAUGGGGACUGAGAGACGGACCAGACUCCUACGGGAGGCAGCAGUGGGGAAUAUUGCACAAUGGGCGGAAGCCUGAUGCAGAAACGCCGCGUGCGGGAUGAAGGCCUUCGGGUUGGAAACCGCUUUCGCCUGUGACGAAGCGGGAGUGACGGUAAUGGGUAAAGAAGCACCGGCUAACUACGUG